rfam:Triticum aestivum genome assembly, contig: Triticum_aestivum_CS42_TGACv1_scaffold_329916_4BS
AAACUACUCCCUCCGUUCCGAAUUACUUGUCUUGGAUUUGUCUAGAUAUGGAUGUAACUAGCACUAAAAUGAGUCUAGAUAAAUCUGUAUCUAGACAAAUCCAAGACAGUAAUUCGGAAUGGAGGGAGUACAUG